AUAAUAAUGAUAAUCAUAACACUGAUGAUGAUAAUAAUCCUAAACCACCUCUUUCUCUCCACAGCUGAAGUGUUGUGGGGUAAACAACUACACGGACUUCCAACAAGCGACGAUGUGGCAGGCCAACAAGUCAAGUGAUGUGUUGGUCCCUAGGGCAUGUUGUGUGCUUGAAGGGAACCCCAUCAAAUUCCUACCACUAGACCCUACCUGCAUUACCAACCCCACCCUGGACAACUCUUAUUACCUAACAAGUUGCUUGAGCAGGUUGCAGGAGAACACCUUCUACUACCUGUCACCCAUGUUGUCUGUGGCCAUCUGUCUGGGCACACUACAGCUAAUCCUCAUCACACUCUCGUUUUAUAUGUGUAGAGCCGUUAGCAAGGCCAUGAAGGUUGCUACGGUAGACUGAUGCAGUGGGUGGAGAACCACGUCAACCUGCUCAUGGGGAUCGGCAUAGGUGUGGGCCUCUUUGAACUUCUCUCGAUGGUGUUUGCCUUCUGUCUGUGUUCCUCUCUAAAUCACAAGAUCAAGUGACGCCAGCAACAACACAAGCUCAGCACUGACUAGCAAGGGACAUAAUAGUGUGCAGUCGACCAUCUAGACAGUGUCUGAGAACACUGUAGAACUAUGAGAGGACAAAGGAAAAGAACUUGAUGUUAUGCAAGUUCUGGGAAAGGGGUGAAUGAGAUCAUAUCAAUGAAAGAAGACAGUGUUCGACAAUAAUCCUGAUAGAACUGUUCUUUGUGUGUGUGUUACUGCAGUAUAUUCAUUCUAGCUCUUAAAUUACAAAGACAAAAAAUAUACCAAAGGUUUCAUUUUUGAAAAGUUAAGCUGUGAAAAUAGACACAUAAAAUUUUUAAAGUAAUACAGUAUAUAAAAGUGGAUUAUAUUUUCCUGUGCGUGAGUCAAAUUUACACCGGCCUUCCCAGAAACACGACAUAUCGUCAUAGCUUUCAUGUCAACCAAGAAGCAGACAGAUUCAGGCUUGUUACCGAGGUAGAGCGCCAGAGAAUUAAGUCUCUCCCUCACAUUUCUUCUUGUCCCAGAUUUAUCCUCUUCAGAUUUUCAUUUCCUCAGUCUUUCUUAUCCAUAUAUCUAACUUCCUCCUGUAUAACCCUAUUUUGUAAUCCUCUUACCCUGUUAUACAAUUUUUCCUAGGUCUCAUUUCUUGCCUAACAAUUUCUCUUUCCAUUCUCCGUUACAUCCCGUUUUGUUAUUUUCCUAAUCAUUCCUCGGUCCCUAUGAUUUUUUUCCCCCUCAAAUGUCUGUAUUAUUAUUCCAACAAAUAAAUGAAAAACCCAAUUUUCCGUCAUCACUCAGGCGGUAACAGGACCAAGCUUAGUCACUCAACCCUCUGGACCAUCAGU